GGGGACGUAGCUCAGCUGGCUAGAGCACCUGCUUUGCAAGCAGGGGGUCGUGGGUUCGAGUCCCAUCGUCUCCACCA
rnacentral:tRNA from 6 species